rnacentral:lncRNA from 1 species
GCGAUAUGUUGAUCUUAUUGGUAGUUGGUUUAACUUUGCACUAUCUUUUAGAAGCAUCUCCAUAUAAGCAAUAUAUUAUAUAUCCACUCUUAAAUGUCGUAUUCAUCUCUUUAAUUUUAGUUAAAAUUCCUCGGAUUUGUUGAAUUUGAAUCAAUAAUGAAUACCUUUCAAAGUCUUUUAAGAUUUAGGACCUAUUUGUG